GACUAGUUGGCGCAAUGGUAGCGCGUCCGACUCCAGAUCGGAAGGCUAGGGGUUCGACUCCCUUACUGGUCA
rnacentral:tRNA from 1 species